CGUUAAAAAGCUGUAAGUUUAGCACUGGUCUCUUAAACCAUCAAAUAGUAGCAACCGCCUACUUUUAACGA
rnacentral:tRNA from 1 species